UGUUUUGAUCUUCCAACAGGAUAAUGAUCCAAAAACAAACAUGUGUCCCUGAGCACAAAACCAAGCCUCUGCAAUGGCCAUCCCAGUCCCUGACCUGAUCCCUGUAGUAGAUGACGAGCCGUGGCUGAACUGAAGAGAAGAAGCGCACACAUGGAUCUGUUCUCCAAACUCAUCCUGCAUUAUAGAAGAAGACUCAGAGCUGAUCUCUUGGAAAAAGGAGGUUGCAAAAAGUAUUUAAUGAAAGGACUUCAAUGAAAGGUCUUGUUCCAGCUCCCCGUGGGCUGAUGGGAUUGUUGCUGAACAGAUUGUACAGGUGUAACAGGAGUUUUAUUCAACGACAUGGCACCUGUCCAAAGCACUCAGCAGCGACACACAGAGAAGACAAGUCCUGCUACUACAAAAACGUGAUACACGAGCCUGUGGUGGAGAAAUAGUUUUCACUGACCCUUGAGAGUUGCUGUAUCCAUUAUAUCGAUGACAGACCGAUUACUGCAGGAGCGUGGCGAGCCAACAAGAAUGACACUGGAUCGAUAGACUUUCCCAAUGCCUCCCUCUCCACAGAUCAAUCUAUCUCAGCCCCUCCGCUGCUGUCAGCCCAGAGACGCACUGUCAUUUAAUC